rnacentral:rRNA from 1 species
CCUGACUGCUAUCGGAUUGAUACUAAGCCAUGCGAGUCAUUGUAGCAAUACAAGGCAUACGGCUCAGUAACGCGUAGUCAACCUAACCUAUGGACGGGAAUAACCUCGGGAAACUGAGAAUAAUGCCCGAUAGAACACUAUACCUGGAAUGGUUUGUGUUCCAAAUGAUUUAUCGCCAUAGGAUGGGACUGCGGCCUAUCAGUUCGUUGGUGAGGUAAUGGCCCACCAAGACUAUUACAGGUACGGGCUCUGAGAGGAGUAGCCCGGAGAUGGGUACUGAGACACGGACCCAGGCCCUAUGGGGCGCAGCAGGCGAGAAAACUUUGCAAUGUGCGAAAGCACGACAAGGUUAAUCCGAGUGAUUUGUGCUAAACGAAUCUUUUGUUAGUCCUAGAAACACUAACGAAUAAGGGGUGGGCAAGUUCUGGUGUCAGCCGCCGCGGUAAAACCAGCACCUCAAGUGGUCAGGAUGAUUAUUGGGCCUAAAGCAUCCGUAGCCGGCUCUGUAAGUUUUCGGUUAAAUCUGUACGCUUAACGUACAGGCUGCCGGGAAUACUGCAGAGCUAGGGAGUGGGAGAGGUAGACGGUACUCGGUAGGAAGUGGUAAAAUGCUUUGAUCUAUCGAUGACCACCUGUGGCGAAGGCGGUCUACCAGAACACGUCCGACGGUGAGGGAUGAAAGCUGGGGGAGCAAACCGGAUUAGAUACCCGGGUAGUCCCAGCUGUAAACUAUGCAAACUCAGUGAUGCAUUGGCUUGUGGCCAAUGCAGUGCUGCAGGGAAGCCGUUAAGUUUGCCGCCUGGGAAGUACGUACGCAAGUAUGAAACUUAAAGGAAUUGGCGGGGGAGCACCACAAGGGGUGAAGCCUGCGGUUC